CAGCCGCCGCGGUAAUACGAAGGGGGCUAGCGUUGCUCGGAAUCACUGGGCGUAAAGGGUGCGUAGGCGGGUCUUUAAGUCAGAGGUGAAAUCCCAAGGCUCAACCUUGGAACUGCCUUUGAUACUGGAAGUCUUGAGUCCGGGAGAGGUGAGUGGAACUGCGAGUGUAGAGGUGAAAUUCGUAGAUAUUCGCAAGAACACCAGUGGCGAAGGCGGCUCACUGGCCCGGUACUGACGCUGAGGCACGAAAGCGUGGGGAGCAAACAGGAUUAGAUACCCCCGUAGUCCCUGUCUCUUAUAC
rnacentral:rRNA from 1 species